UAUAUAAAUGCGAACCGCCUUCCAGUGAAAUCAUUGAAACUUUUGUCAGAUACUUUUAGAAGAUAUUUGCAUUGCUAGAUCUUGUCUAUUGCUAUAGUUCCGGCUCCACGUACAUCAAAAAUGGCGUUGAAAAUUUCUUUUAUGUUUGCGCUAGUGACGGUUUGGGGAAUUCUAGAUGUCCAAACGGCAUUCAUUUCCCAUGAAAAAUAUUAUUCGUGGGGGAGGCAGAAGGAUAACGAUUUGUCGAACGAGGAAGUAGAUGAGGAAACAGAAGAUGA